rnacentral:lncRNA from 1 species
GAGAAAGACACAUUGUAAAAAUGUUAGUUUCUACAAAUGGUUUAGGAAGUUAGGGAAGAAACCACACUCUACAGAACAGGAACUGGUACACGCCUGGCUCCAUCUAUAUACCCAGAGCAGCUUGUCUAGUAGGACUUCCAGUGAGAGUGGAUAUGUUCCAUCUGUGAACUGUCCAGGGCACCUGAGAAACUCAACUCAUUAAAAAUGACUUCUUUUCUCUCAAACUGUAAUUUGGAGAUCAACUAGUCGAGUUUUCUCAAUUGCUUAAUCUUAAAGAAGAACACCAAGCAGCAUUGGUGCAGU